rnacentral:rRNA from 1 species
AGCUCCAAUAGCGUAUAUUAAAGUUGUUGCAGUUAAAACGCUCGUAGUCGGAUUUCGGGUCCUGUCCGCCGGUUUGCCGUUGGGUAUACACUGGUGGGCGCGUCCUUCCUUCCGGAGACCGCGCCUCCUCUUAGCUGAGCGGGCGUGGGAGACGGAUCGUUUACUUUGAAAAAUCAGAGUGUUUCACGCAGGCAGUCUGCUCUUGCAUGGAUUAGCAUGGGAUGAUGAAAUAGGACUCUGGUGCUAUUUUGUUGGUUUCGAGCACCGGAGUAAUGAUUAACAGGGACAGUCAGGGGCACUCGUAUUCCGCAGAGAGAGGUGAAAUUCUCAGACCCGCGGAAGACGAACCACUGCGAAAGCAUUUGCCAGGGAUGUUUUCA